rnacentral:rRNA from 1 species
CAAUAGCGUAUAUUAAAGUUGUUGCGGUUAAAAAGCUCGUAGUUGGAUUUCUGCGCGGGAAGACCGGUCCGCCUUCUGGGUGAGUAUCUGGAUUGGUCUCGGCAUCCUCUCGAAACUCGUUGCUGCGCUUGAUUGCGUGGUGCGGUGUUCGGGACUUUACUUGAGGAAAUUAGAGUGUUCACGGCAGGCAUUCGCCUUGAAUAUAUUAGCAUGGAAUAAUACUAUAGGAUCUUGGUUCUAUUUUGUUGGUUUCUAGGGCUAAGAUAAUAAUCAAUAGGGACAAUUGGGGGCAUUCGUAUUACGGCGUCAGAGGUGAAAUUCUUGGAUUGCCGUACGACGAACUACUGCGAAAGCAUUUGCCAAGGAUGUUUUCAUUGAUCAAGAACGAAAGUAAGGGGAUCGAAGACGAUCAGAU